rnacentral:snoRNA from 1 species
CAGAUGAUGGUGAAUUUCACUGCACUUGACCCAAGCUGAUGAGGACGCUGGUGCUGAUU